UUACACAUGCAAGUCGAACGCGAAAGGGGGUAACCUGAGUAGAGUGGCGAACGGGUGAGUAAUGCAUCGGAACGUGUCCUGUAGCGGGGGACAACCCCGAGAAAUCGGGGCUAAUACCGCAUACGUCCUACGGAGAAAGUGGGGACCGCAAGGCCUCACGCUAUAGGGGCGGCCGAUGCCGGAUUAGCUAGUUGGUGAGGUAAGAGCUCACCAAGGCGACGAUCCGUAGCUGGUCUGAGAGGAUGAUCAGCCACACUGGGACUGAGACACGGCCCAGACUCCUACGGGAGGCAGCAGUGGGGAAUUUUGGACAAUGGGCGCAAGCUGAAUCCAGCCAUGCCGCGUGAGUGAAGAAGGCCUUCGGGUUGUAAAGCUCUUUCGGCCGGGACGAAAUCGCUCUCGCUAAUAUCGGGAGUGGAUGACGGUACCGUAUAAGGAAGCACCGGCUAACUACGU
rnacentral:rRNA from 1 species